UUGCAUUGGAAAAUAUUCCCUUGUUCUACAGGUGGUCACCUGAUUACAAAACCUGAAAUUGUGAAAAAUAUUUCCUUGUUAUACAGGUGGGCGCCUAAUUGCAAAAACUAAAAAUUGAAAAUAUUUCCCUGUUCUCAAGAUGGCGCCUGAUUUCAAAGAACUUUAAAACUGAAAAUACUCCCUUGUUCUCCAGGUGGGCGCCUGAUUGCAAAAACCUAAAACUGAAAAAUAUUCCCUUGUUCUCCAGGUGGGUGCCUGAUUGCGAAAACUAAAAAUUGAAAAAUAUUCCCUUGUUCUCCAGGUGGGCGCCUGAUUGCAAAGACGUAUAACUCAAAAUUCCCUUAUUCUCUAGGUGGGCGCCUGAUUGCAAAAACUUAAAACUAACAAAUAUUUUCUUGUUUUCCAAGUGGGGCGCCUGACUGCAUAAACUUAAAAAUAAAAAAUAUUACCUUGUUCUCCAGGUGGGGCCCCUGAUUGCAAAAACUUAAAACUGAAAAAUAUUCCCUUGUUCUACAGGUGGGCGCCUGAUUGCAAAAACUUAAAACUGAAAAGUAUUUCCUUGUUCUCCAGGUGGUCGCCUGAUUGCAAAAACUUAAAACUGAAAAGUAUUCCCUUGUUCUCCAAGUGUGCUCCUGAUUGAAAAAACUUAAAACUAAAAAAUAUUCCCUUGUUUUCCAUGUGGGCGCCUGAUUGCAAAAACUUAAAACUGAAAAAUAUUCCCUUGUUCUCCAGGUGGNNNNNNNNNNNNNNNNNNNNNNNNNNNNNNNNNNNNNNNNNNNNNNNNNNNNNNNNNNNNNNNNNNNNNNNNNNNNNNNNNNNNNNNNNNNNNNNNNNNNNNNNNNNNNNNACUGAAAAAUAUUCCCUUGUUCUCCAGGUGGGCGCCUGAUUGCAAAAACUUAAAAAUGAAAAAUAUUCCUUUGUUCUCCAGGUAGAUGCCUGAUUGCCUAAAACUAAAAAAUAUUCUCUUGUUCUCCAGGUGGGAAACCGCACCAACCAAGUGACUUCAGCAGCUACACGCAUCAUUGAACGGUACUCAACUUAAGCAGAGGAAAGGGAAAUGGAAACACUCAACUUCAGCAGAGGAAAGGGAAAUGGAAACCCACUUCUUGGAUUUCCAUGAAAUCGGAGUUCCACUAAAGGUAAUGAAAAAACCACUUACAAAACAACUAGAAUCUCUACCACCGCCUAGUCUGUGUCACAAAAAUUGAGUAAAUCAAAGGAGGGAUCUGCAGUGAGAAAGAUCCCUUGAGAAAAAUCAACGCACAAGUAGCAGAUAACAUGCAAAGCUGCAGAGUAAUGGGAAAUGCAAGGAUGUUGCAUGUACUGGCUCAAGCAAAGAACAAGAAAAUAGAGGUUUGGCUUGGUAUUGGUUAAAUAGUGAGCUUCCUAACAAGGUGGUGAUCAACAGUAGGAUCAGACAAAGGUUCUCCCACAUCAGCUUGCAAUUUGGAGUAAGGGUCAAGUAGUGAAGAAAUAACAGGACUUGUGUAAUCAAAUUUUGCCAAGAGAUCCAAGGUAAAUUGCCUUUGCCCUAUGAUGAAACCCUGCAUUUCUAUGAGAAUUUCCAUACCUAGAAAAUGAUGAAUGUCUCCAGGAUGCUUUACUUUGAAUUCUAUGUUGAGAAAAUUUGUAAUAUGUGCAAUUUAUGUGGUGUCAUUUCCUGUGAGUAGUAUGCCAUCCACAUCGACAACUAAGAUAGAGAUUAGGGCACUUGAUUGCUUGUAGAAUAAUGAAUAAUCAUUUAGAGAGUUGGAGUAACCUGUAGUUGAUCAUACCAUUGUUUUAAUGCUUGGUUUAGGCCAUAGAGUGAUUUCCUUAAGUGACAAACAUGAUUAUAUUGAGGAGGAGUCAAACCUGCAGGGAAUAUCAUAUAGACCUCUUUUUGCAAAUCCCCAUGAAUUAUUGACGUCAAGUUGUGAUACAUGCCGCCCCUUUUUAAUUGCCACAGCCAAGAGACACCUGAUGGUAGUCAUUUUUACCACAUGUGAAAAGGUUUCAUAAUAAUCUAUCCCUUCUCUCUUAAUGCCCACUGCCACUAACCUAGUUUUUAACUUUUCAAUUGUACCAUCUGAAUUUUGCUUCACGUUGUACACCCAUUUUCUGGUUAAAGCUUUCUUCCCAGGUGAUAAGAGUACAACAUCCAAGUGUGAUUUAGUUCAAGUGCUGAAAUUUCAGCGUACAUGGCCUUCUUCCACCCAAGAUGAGUGGAAGCCUGUAGAAAACUACUAGAUUCUGAUAUUGAAGAAAUAGAGGUAAGUAGAUGUUGAUUGAUCAUAGAAAGUGCAUUAAAGGAGAAGGCAUUUGACUUGAGAGGUUUAGAUAGACAAGAACUAAGGUUAGAUAGGUAAAUGUUGUUGCAAAUGUUAUCAUUUAAGUAAGUUGGUUUUUGAGUCACUCUUUCAGAUUUUAUGACUGAUGGAGAAGGAAUUAGAAUAGUCAUGGUGGUUGAUGAGGGAGAAAUUGAUAUGGACAAGAAGGGUGAGUAAGAAGUAGUGGAUUCUGACAGGGUGAGGGUGAUAUUGGAUGGAGUAGAAAGAUCAAUACACUGCGAAGAACUACUAGGCGAGGACAAUAUGGGAGAUGGUGAUGGUGAGGGUGUCCUUGGAUAGUGUUCUGUUGAGCGAUGAGGUAAGGUAUCUGGUGGAGGUGUACCUGGUGGAAAGAAAGGAAAAUCAGGUGAGAAAGGUGAGUGAGCAAAAGUAAAUUGGUGCUCAUGGAACCUGACAUCUCUAGAAACAAACAACUUUUUUAGUGUCAAAGUCUAGAACUAUGUAACCUUUCUAAUUCUGGGCAUAUCCUAGGAACACACAACCCUUUGCCCUAGGUUCAAACUUCCCCCUGUUGUGAGACAAAGCUGAUGCAUAGCAUAAAUAACCAAAACUUUUGAGGGAAUGAUAGCUGGGUUGUUAAUCAAGCAGCAUCUCAUAGGGUGUUAAACCAUUCAGAACUUCAGAAGGGAUUCUGUUGAUUAGAUAUGUAGUUGUCAUCACACACACUCCCAUUAUUGGAAAGGCACCUUAGAAUGAAAUAAUAGAGCUUUUGCUACUUCUAAAAGAUGUCUAUGCCUCCUCUCAACUACUCCAUUCUGUUGAGGGAUUGCAACACAAGAAGUCUCAUGUAUAAUCCCUUGAGAUUCAAGAAAACUUGCCUCUAGUGAUUGUUACACCUCAUUUUCGGCUACUACAACCCAGCAAUGUGUGUAGAAAAGGGAGUUUUUCCAAUUAAAGGACAAUCGAAACGGGAUUCAAUUUUUAAAGAGAAUUUCAGAGUCGCCACUUGGGAGAUUUAUGGUGUCUCAAGUCACCGGUUAGAAUCUCGAAUCGAGGAAAGAAUGACUCUAUUUAACAGUCCGCAAACCAGAAAUCCGAGUAAGGAAUUCUGUUAACCCGAGAGAAGGUGUUGGGCACUCCUGAAUUCCGUGGUUCUAGCACGGUUGCUCAACUGCUAUAUUUGGCUUAUAUUAUCUGAUUUUAUACAAUUAUGAACCUAUGUGCAUUUUAAAUCUUUUAACCAAUUUUAUUAUUAUUUUUGGGGAAAAUUGCAACGCCGUUAAAACGUGCCUCGAACCACGUCACAUAAAUGCACCCAUGGUUUUUGACACAUUCUAACUUCGUCGAGAUUUGAAUUCGGGUCACAUAAAUGUGCACCCGUAUUUAGGAAAGUGAAUUAUUUAACUAGUGCGCCUAAAAUGAAUAUGUGUUUGCAAGUUUGCGAGGGCCAUGGAAGUUUGCUAAAUGGUGCACCUCGAGUUCUAAAGAAAAGAACUCUAUUUAGCUAAGGAAAACUUUAAUACUCCUACUUACAGAAAAACUAAGUAUCACAAUCACGUCACGGGAACUGUACCCUUGGUUGUAACAGGAAUACUUCCAAACCAGCACAUAACUUCAUUUUAAUUAACAUCCUAAAAAGAGAUGACCGAUCCUUUAAGCACAUAUCUAUCUACUAAAGAUGCAGAAUUCACCAGAUAUGCUAUGAUUCUACUCAAAACAAUCCAUCUGAUAUACAAUUAUGCUCAUUACUAUUCAGAAACAACAAAUUCAAAAUGUCGUCAAGUGCAGCAAUCAACUCACCAAAGCAUUACGGAAAGACUAGCCUUAUACUGACCGUGAUAUCAAACAAAGCAAUAUCUUGCUAGAAGGUGCAAUAUGACAUGUUUUGGUUUAGACAACCAAUCAGGGAAACAUGGUCAUUAAAUUCCAUAACUCAAACCACUUAUGUUGAAUCUGAACGUGGGCAUCAUAAGAGUGCAUCAGUACCAUGAUUAUUGGUUGAACAAGAAGACGAUGAGCUGAGUUUUCUUAGUAAAAUGACUUAGAAGUAUAUCUAUAUUAGGUAUGGUUGCGGCUUUGGAUUGGCCCUACUGUACCUCAUAUACUGUUUUGAAAGGCCAAGAUGAAGUAAUGGAGCAGUAAAAGGGAAGAUAAUAUUUACGCAGCUAAGUAACCCAUAACACCAAAAAUCGAUAGCCUGUCACACGAAAUGACUUAGAAGUCUAUCUUAAUUGGGUAUGGUUGUGGCUUUUGGAUUGGCCCUACUGUACUCAUAUACUGUUUUGAAAGGCCAAGAUGAAGUAAUGGAGCAGUAAAAGGGAAGAUAAUAUUUAUGUUGCUAAGUAACCCGUAAUACCAAAAAUUGAUGGCAUGUCACACUAGCUAGCUACAAAGUAACAUGCCAAGAACAAGUUGUUCCUAAACAACUAACAAGCAGAAAACAACACAACUCAACCUGUGCAAAUUCCAAACUGAAAAGAAGGAAAUAACGAGAAAUGAUUGACAGCUUUCACAACAAUUUGUUUGAACUUCAUAUGAUCCAAGUAUCUGGAGAAUGAUUCAUGACAGUAGUGGGGCGUUAUCAAAUUCAUUAUGUGAGAUAUACGAACAUGUGAGUCCCUUCUAAUAUUGCUGCUCAUCACAGUCACAAAUAAGACAACAAAGACAUUCAAAUUUUGUCUUUAUUCGAUAUCUCAAAUUUCAUCUACUGAAGCAUAUAGCACUUAUAAAAUCAUACCUUUGUGGAGGAAUUAAGCGUUAUCUCAAGUGAAAUGAUACCAAACCAAGUAUUCAAACAAAAUAGUAGAGCAAAACAAAAUCGAAGAAUAAGUAGUAACGAAAUAACUAACCAGAACAAGGUAAACAAAUCCAAAUGAAACAAACUAAUUAUAAAUUCCAACACUUACAUAUAAUCUGGAAGACGAUCGAACUUUUACAGUAGCAACAAUUCCUGAAAGCGCUGGCCAGAUGACAUCCUCGACCUGCAGGACCAGAGCUUCACCGGUAACCUCAGCGUAAUUGCAACCGGACCUCGAAACUGGCCAGAUCUCUCGUGUAAUAAGAUCUAGCUGUGGAGGAAAUGGUCGCUGAUUUCAGUUGUUAAACGGAGAGGAAUCAGCGCUAGAAGGGUGCUCGUUUUUUCUCUACUAUGCUUGCUUCUUUCAGCGAUUUCAAGAGGUUCAGAAGGUGGGUCAAGAGGAGGGAGCUUCAGGUGGGGUCAUCUUUGUUGUUGUCUAUGCUCAUGGUUGAUAAAAGAGCAGGGGUCGUUUGGAGGAGAUGACACAGGGUUAACAUCGACGGGAAGGGCUACCGAUGGGUUCUUCGGUGAGGAAUGAUCUUCAGGGGUCCUUUCUCGCCAAAGCU
rnacentral:lncRNA from 1 species